rnacentral:rRNA from 1 species
AUAGCGUAUAUUAAAGUUGUUGCAGUUAAAACGCUCGUAGUCGGAUUUCGGGGCGGGCCGACCGGUCUGCCGAUGGGUAUGCACUGGCCGGCGCGUCCUUCCACCCGGAGACCGCGCCUACUCUUAACUGAGCGGGCGCGGGAGACGGGUCUUUUACUUUGAAAAAAUCAGAGUGUUUCAAGCAGGCAGUCGCUCUUGCAUGGAUUAGCAUGGGAUAAUGAAAUAGGACUCUGGUGCUAUUUUGAUUGGUUUCGAACACCGGAGUAAUGAUUAACAGGGACAGUCAGG